GCCAUGAUCGUAUAGUGGUUAGCGCUCUGCCUUGUGGCCGCAGCAAGCUUGGUUCGAAUCCUAGUCACAGCA
rnacentral:tRNA from 1 species